CCCAACUAUCCCUAUUAAUCAUUACAUCGAUCCUAGAAACCAACAAAAUAGAAUGCGAUGUCCUAUUUCAUUAUUCCAUGCUAAUGUAUUCAAGCGUUGGCCUGCUUUAAACACUCUAAUUUUUUCAAGGUAACAGUCCUAAUUUCCCACAACAUCAAAUAAAUGACAUUAUGGUUCCUUAGAAGGUGAGAACCAAAGAGGCCAGUACAUACCAUUGGCAUGACCGACCCAUUGAUUCCGAGGUUCAACUACGAGCUUUUUAACUGCAACAACUUUAAUAUACGCUAUUGGAGCUGGAAUUACCGCGGCUGCUGGCACCAGACUUGCCCUCCAA
rnacentral:misc_RNA from 1 species